rnacentral:rRNA from 1 species
UUAAAUGGCCGCGGUACUUUGACCGUGCAAAGGUAGCAUAAUCAUUAGUUUUUUAAUUGAAAGCUGGAAUGAAAGGUUGAAUGAGAAAAUAACUGUCUUUUUUAUAUUUCAUUAAAAUUUUAUUUUUAAGUUAAAAAGCUUAAAUUUUAUUUAAAGACGAGAAGACCCUUUAGAGUUUUAUAAAAAUUAUUUUUUUCUCUUUUAAGAAUUAAAAAAAUAAAAAAUUUUGUUUUUAUUUAGUUGGGGCGAUUAAAAAAUUUAAAAAACUUUUUUUUUUAUUUUACAUUAAUUUAUGAUUAUUUGAUCCAUAUAUUAUGAUUAAAAGAAAAAAUUACCUAAGGGAUAACAGCGUUAUUUUUUUUGAGAGUUCAAAUCGAAAAAAAAGAUUGCGACCUCGAUGUUGGAUUAAAAUUAAAUUGUGGUGUAGAGGCUUCAACUUUAGGUCUGUUCGACCUUUAAAAUUUUACAUGAUCUGAGUUUAAACCGGUUUAAGCCAGGUUGGUUUCUAUCUUGAAUUAUUUAUAAUUUUUUAGUACGAAAGGACCAAACAUUGUAUUAAAAAUAUAAAAUUAUGAA